rnacentral:rRNA from 1 species
UAGGGAAUAUUAGUUAAUGUGCGAAAGCGCGAACUAGCAACGCCGCGUGUGCGAUGAAGGCCUUCGGGUCGUAAAGCACUUUUUCGAGGGACGAGGAAGGACGGUACCUCGAGAAUAAGCAUCGGCUAACUACGUGCCAGCAGCCGCGGUAAAACGUAGGAUGCAAGCGUUAUCCGGAUUUACUGGGCGUAAAGCGCGUGUAGGCGGUUCGGUAAGUUGGAUGUGAAAGCUCCUGGCUUAACUGGGAGAGGUCGUUCAAUACUGCCGAGCUAGAGGAUGGUAGAGGGAGGUGGAAUUCCGAGUGUAGUGGUGAAAUGCGUAGAUAUUCGGAGGAACACCAGUGGCGAAAGCGGCCUCCUGGACCAUUUCUGACGCUCAGACGCGAAAGCUAGGGUAGCAAACGG